rnacentral:rRNA from 1 species
GCGUUAAACGUGCGCAGUCGAGUCCGAAAGGAAAAAAUCUCAGUCCAGAGCGUAACUUCAGCCGUUCAAUUUUAGCUACCAGGUUAGAGAGGGUAGGAGGGAGAUGGAAGUCGCAGUGAACAGUUAAUAUCUAGAGAUACAUACGACACCGGAAUGCGAACUCAGCCUCAUGAUAUCACACUGACGCUCAUGCACGGGGGGGGAGGCGAGCGAACAUGAUUAGAUAGUCCUCUCCUCCAAGCCCUAGACGAUGUCAACUAGCUGUUGUUGCCUUCGAGACUUGGUAGUGCAGCAAACGAAUGAAAUUGACCGGAGGGCGAGGGCGGUAGCAAGAAUAAAAAUAAAAGGAAUUGACGCGCACCCGCGCAAGCGUUCGUUGAUUUAUUUUAAUUAGAUCCAACAAGAAAAACCUUCCUUUCCCUUUCCAGGUCUGUAAUGAGAAAGAGAUUUGCCAGUGCUAGCAAGAGAACAGGAACACAGGUGCUGUAUUCCUGUCGUGUGCUGAGAUCGUGGGAUGUGGGGUUAAAUCCGGCCACGACCCCUCCCCUUUUCAUUACAUGUUACGAAAGGGCAUUUUAAGGAGACUGCCGGUGCCAAACCGGGGGAAGGUGGGGAGGACGUCAAGUCCUCAUGGCCCUUAUGGGUAGGGCUUCCCCCGUCAUCCAAUGGUCGGGCCAAAGGGUUCACAAGCCCGGAGGUGGACCUAAUCUUAUAAACCCGAUCGUAGUCCGGAUCGCAUUCUGCAACUCGAUUGCGUGAAGUCGGAAUCGCUAGUAAUCGCGGAUCAGCAUGUCGCGGUGAAUACGUUCCCGGGUUUUGUACACACCGCCCGUCACACCAUGGGAGUGGGUUUUACCAGAAGCCUUAGCCUAACCUCAAGGGGGGCGCUUACCACGGUAGGAUUCAUGACUGGGGGAAGUCGAACA